rnacentral:rRNA from 1 species
AACGAACGCUGGCGGCAGGCCUAACACAUGCAAGUCGAACGCCGUAGCAAUACGGAGUGGCAGACGGGUGAGUAACACGUGGGAACGUACCCUUCGGUUCGGAAUAACUCAGGGAAACUUGAGCUAAUACCGGAUACGUCCGCAAGGAGAAAGAUUUAUUGCCGAAGGAUCGGCCCGCGUCUGAUUAGCUAGUUGGUGAGGUAAUGGCUCACCAAGGCGACGAUCAGUAGCUGGUCUGAGAGGAUGAUCAGCCACAUUGGGACUGAGACACGGCCCAAACUCCUACGGGAGGCAGCAGUGGGGAAUAUUGGACAAUGGGCGCAAGCCUGAUCCAGCCAUGCCGCGUGAGUGAUGAAGGCCUUAGGGUUGUAAAGCUCUUUUACUCGGGAAGAUAAUGACGGUAACCGAGAGAAUAAGCCCCGGCUAACUUUCGUGCCAGCAGCCGCGGUAAAUACGAAGGGGGCUNAGCCGUUGUUUCGGAUUUACUGGGCGUAAAGCGCACGUAGGCGGAUCUUUAAGUCAGGGGUGAAAUCCCGAGGCUCAACCUCGGAACUGCCUUUGAUACUGGAGAUCUUGAGUCCGGGAGAGGUGAGUUGGAACUGCGAGUGUAGAGGUGAAAUUCGUAGAUAUUCGCAAGAACACCAGUGGCGAAGGCGACUUUCUGGUCUGUAACUGACACUGAGGCGCGAAAGCGUGGGGAGCAAACAGGAUUAGAUACCCUGGUAGUCCACGCCGUAAACGAUGAGUGCUAAGUGUUAGAGGGUUUCCGCCCUUUAGUGCUGCAGCAAACGCAUUAAGCACUCCGCCUGGGGAGUACGGUCGCAAGACUGAAACUCAAAGGAAUUGACGGGGGCCCGCACAAGCGGUGGAG